GACGCUGUCAGUCGGAUGAUGGGGAUGAAGAAUAGCAUCAGCAGGCCGCUGGAGGCCCCAACGAGACUGAAAGUUGAAUGGAUGUUGAAAGCGAAGCCCCGCUGCCACACAGAGACCGACAUUCAAUUUGUGGAAGCGUCGUGUCCGACUUGACUGUGCUUUCCGCUGACAUUUCUACAUUCAGAGUACUCUUGGUCCGAGAGUUGUAGGCGCACACAAACGAAAGGAUAUUGGAAAAUGCCACCCCCAAUGGGCUUCCAGGUUUGUAUGGAAAUUCGAGGCGGGUUCGCCUAUAACACAGAUAUGAAUCUUUCACCCUUUUUCUCAAUGUCUCGAGCGACGCUGGAGCUGCGGGGAUAUUUACGGUCACAUUUCUGGCUUAUUAAUUGGCCGCAUGCACGAACCUGAAUCCUGCCAAGGAGUCUCCUGCAUUCCGUUCUCCCCCUCCACCCAGGUCGGAACCGGGCCGGGUCAGUGCAGGUGUGAAUAGUUGCUGUUCACCUGCCGCCAGGACAGGAUCGCAGGGAGAGGGAGAGAGAAGGAUUUCUGUGAGCAGCAGCUGUUCAGCUGCCAGCGACAUGUUUAGCGACAAUUUGCCAGGAUGCCAUGCAAUUUGCUUGGCCAGGAGCCCGCUGCUGCUCCCUUUUGGCUGGCAGCUUUUGAUUGAUGACGACCGGGUUCUGCUUGCUGCAAUUGAAAGUGCAUCUCAAUUAGGAGGCCGCCCUGGUGGACCUUCGACUGCCUCAACCCCAACCCCUCACUGCAGUGCACACGUCUCCUUCUGUGAGCGGUACAGUGGAGGAGCGAGCGCGAGUGUGUGGGGCAGUAAAAGUAACUCCAUUUGUAUGGCAAUCCAUGUACACGUCGAUAUCGCCGACAGCCAGUCUUGCAGCAUUGCAGGUGCAGCCGCAGUCGGAGUUGGAGCCACCGUUUGUGGCUAUCGGCUAUAUUGAUGGCUAACAAGUUUGGCUCUGGGAAAGUAGGUGAGGAGCAUCUGAAUGGCAUGAAUAGGGGAAACCUCUGCCAAGAAUCUCCAUCGCCAUCAACUAUAGCUGCCUUUGAUCUGCUCUCCGGGUGAUCUCAACUGUCAGAGCUGGCCAGACCCAGAUCCAGAUCCUUUUAAUCAGCAUCAGCACUCUCCUCCCAUCCGCUUGGCAGGGUGCUGCCCUUUGAAGUGCU
rnacentral:sRNA from 1 species